CUGUGUGGUUGUUAAUGGCUAGAAAGUGGUUGUGUGGUUAUGAUUUGCUACUGAUCUUUGUUUGUUCUUUCUAUUUUGUUCUUCAGUUAUUGCCUUUUUUUAUUUAUAGAGUAAUUGUUGGGGUUUUGUUCAUUGGGGUUAGUGAGUGACCAUUGGUUUAAUUGUUUUGGCUGAAAAAUUGAAUUGAAAUGACUUUUGCUUUUUGAUUGAGUGUGAAUUUGGAGAAACUUUGGCUUAAUUUGAGAUUGAG
rnacentral:lncRNA from 1 species